GAUCUCAUCAGCUUCAUCUCUCAGCUCCUAACACAGUGCCCAGCCACUAUGUUUAUCUCACAUUAGCUACAUGGCCCAUGUAUGUUAUCUCAUCAAUACAUAGGAGACCAAGGCUCUGAGAAGCCUGACAACUCGCUCCCCCAUCACCCGGGGAAUUCUUGUCGUCCCUUACGUCACAGCCUAAAUGUCCCUUCCUUGGGGAAACUCUCUCUGACAUCCACCACCACACCCCAUCCUCCCCACUCCAAUGCAGCAUCUUGUGCAUCUCUGUAGCACUAAUCACAGUGGCAUUUAAUGAGUUGUUUCUGCAAUGGUUUGCUCUCUCCCCACUCAUGCAUAAGCUCCUCAAGGGAUGGCAACAUGUCUCUAUUGUUUACCACCCUGUCCUGAAUGCAGGGGCCCUGACUCAGAGAAGACUCUGGGUAAUUAUUUACCAUUUGAAGAAUGAAUGGCUUCCUAAGUUUGUGCACCUAGAGCUCUCUGGCCUUCAGCUGCUUCAUCCGUAAGUAGGUGGAGCCUUAGGUCCCCAGGACUAGCUCACUCUUAAGAUGACUUCUCAUUCUUAGGUCCUAGAAAAUGCUUUUUAAAAUUCCAUCUUCCUUUCCCAAAUGGAAACAACAAUGUCAUACCAAUCAGGUUGGAAAAAAAAUGAGAAAUUUGGAUAAUGCCAUGUGCUGAGUACCAGUGUCCUCGAAGAAACCUGUCAGUAUUCAGGGAAAUGAAGUACUGCACGCCUUCUGACCCCACCAUCCCACUCCUGGGGAGACUCCGGGGAAACACUCACGUGGUCCCAGUGGGUCACCCACAUGGUGGGGCAUCGGAGGCAAUCUAGCGUCCACCCCUGGAACAGCGGACAUCUCUCGAGAAACUCCGCAGCAGUCAGAAGCAUCGAAUGAGAUAUAUGCACAGCAACUCAGGUGAAUGUAAUGACUGAUUAACGAACGAAGAUUCCACCUUCCCUUCCUCUCGUGGAUCCCAGCAAACUUCCAGGGCAUGGGUUAGCAUAGGUUUGAAGAAGGUUUCUCGGCCUCUGCACUAUCUCCAUUUUGGGCCCGCUAAGUCUUUGUAGUUGGGGCUGGCCUGUGCAUUGUAGGAUGUUUAGCAGUUUCCCUGGUCUCCACCUACCAGAUGCCAGUUGCACCUACCAAGUUCUGACACCCAAAAUGUCUUCAGACAUCGCCAAAUGUCCCCUGGGGGACAAAAAUCAACCCUGGUUGAGAACCACUGGGUUGGAAUACAAGCCUGAAAAACCGCUCCCAGUCUGCCAGUUGAAAUGCUACCUUGUCCAGGAAUAGUUUCUUGAUUUUCCCAGGAGGAAGAACAUCUUAGCUGGGUGGCCUUCGGUAAGCGAUAGAACCUCUCAGCCUCAGUUUUGUCAUCCGUAAAAUGCAGACGAUGACAACACCCACCUCCUGAGGUUAUUAUGCAGAGAUCCCAGAAAGUUCUAGGUGCAAAGUGCGGCUGGCGGCCCACCUGCCUUUCCUAGGGCGUGAGAAAGAGUGGAGAGGUUCCUACCUAUUCUGUCUGCUGACUGUGCUGAGCAUGUCUCCUCACAACAACCCUGCACAACAAGUUAUGAGGGAUCCCCUGCCCCAGGAACAGCCUAAGAUCUCAAGAAGAGGAAGAGGAAACCCACAAACAAACAGCUUUUCCAGCUUCAUCUGCCCCCACCUCCCCCAGCCCUGGACUGGUGGGAUCCAGAAGGAAGGGCCCAAACUGCAGCCUCAUAAACCUUCCCGAAAGCCCUCAUAAACAGCAGGCCUGGCUGGUGCCACAUCUGGUGCUGCAAAAAGCAAAAUCUCUGGUUGUAAAGUAAUCCUCAUAAAAAAAAGAGAGUAAAGAAAAAAACCUCUGUGAUAAAUACAGUAAUGACCUCUAGGAAACAAGGAAAAGGAGCCCAAGUUCCUAUGACUGCAAAGGGAAGUGGGGCUUCAGCCCCAGCAGACACCACCCAAAAGACUCACUUCCAAUCCAAUUUCCAACCCUGAAAAUGCAAGAUCUUCCACAAAUGCAGAAUCUUCACAGUGGGCUGAUUUCUUUAAGGAACUGGGAUAAAAAUAACAAUAAGGUCAAGACCACAGUGACCUCUGGACUCCAGCCCCUGGCUAAGAAUGCAAUCUACCUGUCCACGGGCCAGUGUGAUGCAAGAUGUCAAGGGAUGGUGAUCACUGAGAGACCAAAGAUUUCCUCUGAAUUUGCCUGGAUUUUCACACUUGAUUGUUCACUGUCAAAAGGAAGAACAGGUGUACCUACAGCAACCUGGCUGCAGAAAUCUACAUUCUCCUUAUUCUGAGAAACCCCCCAAAAUACUACCACCAAAGUAGAAACCAAAUUUAUCCUGAAUUGACAUGUACCCCCUAACCCCAGCCCAACUCCAUACUCCUCUCUGUCAAGGAAGCAAAAUCAAUUUCCUUUGCUUUAGAUACCAGCAUGUAGGCUUGUGGACUUCCAAAUGCUGUCUUCCAAGAACUUGGAGUUUAAACACGAUCCCUUGGGUGAUAUGUCCAAAGAAGUUCUCACUGAAAUUCCCCGCAUCGUAAAAUGUCAGGAUGUCUGCGGUCUUUAUUUAUAGACAGAUUGCUUUUCAACUUUUCUCACUCCAACAUUUCAAUGUGUUAUUCCUGAAGAUAAAUGCACAUUAUGAUUUC